UCCAUCAAGAGUCUGAAAUGAUAUAACCACUGAAAGGAAAUUGCGCUAUGGUGAUAGAGAAACUUCCCACUUGGCACACACUGGAUGAAUCGACAUUGUUUCCACGAUAUUUCAACAAAAUUGCAUUGAACCAAUGUGGAAUAGACAUUGAAUUGACGUAUGUGUCCAGUGGGCACUGUAUGGUGAGAAACUUGUUGUGCAGAGACACUCCGACAGAGAGAGAAGCAAAGGAGAGAGUGAGGGAGAGGACAAUGGUUAAAAUGGCUGUUUUGGGACUGCUUGGGUCCCUUUUAUAUCUGCUAACAGGUGUCAGUGGAGAAACUCUCUCUAUGUUCUCCAGAGUGGGAGAUGAUGUCAGUCUGCCGUGUAACAAUGUGGUUUAUCCAAACUGCUCCUCAACUACAUGGAUCUAUAACAGAGCUGGAUCUAAAGUAACUAUUGAAGAGGUCGCAUUGGGGAAGAUCAAAGUUGAGAAGACAGAGAGAGCAGACAGACUGAGUUUAGAGUCUAACUGUUCUCUACAUGUUAGUGAUGUCAGUGCUGAGGAUGCUGGACUCUACACCUGUCGACAGUUCCUUACAGAGACUGGACCACAACAUGGAGGUGAUGCCCCUGUUCAUCUGUCUGUUCUAACCAGUUCUCCUCCACCAAUCCAGAUCCUCGUCCUCCAUGUGGCUGUAGGAGUGGCUGUCGGAGCAGCUGUGUGUGUUGUUGCUGCUGUCAUCGUAGUACACAGAAGGAGAACGCAUAACCGAAUGUCAGCUGAUGACAAAAUUGAUCUGACUGCAGGAAGCCAUUCUAACCUAUCAACCAAUGAGGACAAGCAUCAACCUGCUGGCAAUAUCACCUAUGCCUCCAUCCUCCACUUCAAUCAAAACCCCCCCGCAGAAUGUUGAUGUCCAGGGUGAGGAUGCAGUGACCUAUUCCUCUGUUAAGCCCUCUACUACCAGAGGGAGAGAGACAGAGAACUCUGCUGACCCCAGCUCCCUCAACCACGGUCGGUUAUGAUACAGCCUGGAAUUGAGCCUGUGUCUGUAGUGAUGCCUCUAGCACUGAGAUGCAGUGCCUUAGACCACUCAGCGCAGCGGUUAAAUGUAUCAUUGAACUUGUUAACUUGACUGAGAACACAUUCUCAUUUACAGCAACAACCUGGGGAAUAGUUACAGGGGAGAUUAAUGAGCCAAUUGGAAGCUGGGGAUGAUUAGGUGGCUACAGUAUGAUGGUCAGAUUGGGAGUGUAGCCAGGAUACCAGAGUUAACACCCCUACUCUUACAGUAUCUUUAGUGACCACAGAGAGUCAGGACACUUGUUUUAACAUCCCGAUUGAAAGGCAGCACCCUACACAAGGCAAUGUCCCCAAUCACUGACCUGGGAUAUUUGAGGACAUGUGAGGCAUCUGUUUCUCAAACUAGACACUCUAAUGUACUUGUCCUCUUGCUCAGUUGUGCACCGAGGAUCCCACUCCUCUUUCUAUUCUGGUUAGAGCCACUUUGCGCUACUCUGUGAAGGGAGUAGUAUACAGCGUUGUAUGAGAUCUUCAGUUUCUUGGCAAUUUCUCGCAUGGAAUAGUCUUCAUACAAGAAUA